rnacentral:lncRNA from 1 species
AUAUUUCAACGAGAAUAAGAGCAACAAAAUUGUUGAUGUCAAAAAGUUUGGACUAUGACUUUAUAGAGACUCUUCAUUUGACUUUUGAUGUGUAGUGAUCCUGAAAGCCUGGAUGAUGUGUUAAUACAUUUACAUUGGGAAAAAUGUAAAAAGAUUUCUUAUGAAUCAAUGUCUUUCUUGAUUUUUUUUUUAUCUCAGGUACUGUAAGAGGAUGGUGGAGUGUAUAAAUAAAUCAGAACUGCUAUUUUUCGGAUGGAAAUGACAAGUAUGUGCUUGCAUAGUGCCAAAAUAUGAAAAUAAUAACAUGAAAAGAGGAAAAAGAACAACCUGACGUCUUUGCUAAUCCUCUGGAAGAGAGAACCGCUGGGGUAGUCCGAAAGAAACAGAACCAAGCAGCCAUUCGCUGAAAUCUCUGAGCCUGAGUCAUGACAUAUGUUUUCUCCUCAUGAGUUGAUUUAUUUGUGCAUUUGUCACAGUUAGAGAGUAAUAAUUAAUAG